UACGGAGGGUGCAAGCGUUAUCCGGAAUCACUGGGUUUAAAGGGUGCGUAGGCGGGCCUGUAAGUCAGAGGUGAAAGCCCAUCGCUUAACGAUGGAAUUGCCUUUGAUACUGUGGGUCUUGAAUUGGGAUGAGGUUAGCGGAAUGUGGCAUGUAGCGGUGAAAUGCUUAGAUAUGCCACGGAACACCGAUUGCGAAGGCAGCUAACUGGCCCUUGAUUGACGCUGAGGCACGAAAGCGUGGGGAGCGAACAGG
rnacentral:rRNA from 1 species